UCCUCCUACAAAGGCGUGUCUGUGGUUCCC
rnacentral:piRNA from 1 species